AUCUGCCCCUUGGUUCGGAAUAACAGUUGGCAACGACUGCUACUACCGGAUGAUGACGUAGGUCCAAAGAUUUAUCGCCGAGGGAUGAGCCCGCGUAGGAUUAGGUAGUUGGUGUGGUAAAGGCGCACCAAGCCGACGAUCCUUAGCUGGUCUGAGAGGAUGAUCAGCCACACUGGGACUGAGACACGGCCCAGACUCCUACGGGAGGCAGCUGUGGGGAAUAUUGGACAAUGGGCGAAAGCCUGAUCCAGCAAUGCCGCGUGAGUGAUGAAGGCCUUAGGGUUGUAAAGCUCUUUUACCCGGGAUGAUAAUGACAGUACCGGGAGAAUAAGCUCCGGCUAACUCCGUGCCAGCAGCCGCGGUAAUACGGAGGGAGCUAGCGUUAUUCGGAAUUACUGGGCGUAAAGCGCACGUAGGCGGCUUUGUAAGUAAGAGGUGAAAGCCCAGAGCUCAACUCUGGAAUUGCCUUUUAGACUGCAU
rnacentral:rRNA from 1 species